rnacentral:rRNA from 1 species
UCAAGAAACUUCCACAAUGGGCGAAAGCCUGAUGGAGCGACGUCGCGUGAUGGACGAAGUGCUUCGGCACGUAAACAUCUUUUAUGUGGGAUGAAAUUAUUGACAGUACCACAUGAAUAAGGGGCUCCUAACUCUGUGCCAGCAGGAGCGGUAAUACAGAGGCCCCAAGCGUUAUCCGGAAUCACUGGGCGUAAAGGGUGUCGAGGCGGUUGUAUUAGUCGUUCGUAAAAUCUACGAGCUUAACUUGUAGGCGGCGAACGAAACGGUACGACUUGAGGUUUGGAGAGGUGCGUGGAACUCACGGUGUAGGGGUGAAAUCCGUUGAUAUCGUGGGGAACACCAAAGGCGAAGGCAGCGCACUGGCCAAAUCUGACGCUCACACACGAAAGCUAGGGUAGCGAAGAGGAUUAGAUACCCCCGUAGUCCCUGAGCGGGCUGGCAAGGCGCAU